rnacentral:lncRNA from 1 species
GGAAGAGGCAGUCCAUGUUUUGAAGACAUUUAUUGCCAUGGCGGAAAGUGGAUGAGUAAAAACCGUACCCUGCUUCUCAGGGUGGUCUUGAGGUUAAAUACCUUUUACUGGGAGGAAUGUCUGGGGAGGGGAGUUUAUUGGCUAAGCUUCUAGGCCUUUAGGUACCUCAUUAAAAUGGAGAUCUGUCUUGAGGCUAUGUGACCACAGGUCAUGACCUCUACCUGUGAAGGGGCUUGGGGCAUUGCCCUUCUGUGACUGAUGGCCACAAAUCGAUGGAGGGCUGCGGCCUUAUGUCAGGAGCCUAGUGUCCGGGAGCGCAGCAGAACACCUGCCCGACCCUGAGGGUCACCGGGGUUUCCAGCCUGUGCUCUACCAGGAACCAGGCUGUUUCACAGUUCUACAGUGGACUACUGGCACCUUUUCUCUUGGUGUGUGAGUGAUUUGGUCCAUUGUAAUCUGCCUUCCCAGGCUACCACGCACAGCUCCGUGGGCACUCUAGUGAUCUGGCUUCAGAUGACCUGUUGCGUUUUUUGUUUGUCUUCAAGCCAUUCUCUGCUCACCUCCUACAGGAAAGCCACUGUGUGUGUGGAAGCUGCACUGAUGUUUGUUUCUUUGUCCCAGAGACACCAUAGUACCCAGUCUGCUGCUGCUGGCAUCUUAAAACCUUUGGGUCUUUCCCUAUUUUACGAUGACAUGCAGGUUCCUGGAGAUACUUUAUCCAUGGUACCUGAGUUAGUGUGACAGUAUUCACGUGUCCUUUUUUCCUGAGUAAACUAGAAGGUCCUUGAAGAUAAUCUGUUUACAGCAUCCAGCAUCAACAUGGUACAGAGUAGAUAGACAGUGAGUAUUUGUGGCAUGGAGCCAAGGAUGGCCAUGGCCGGUAGCUGAGUGUGUGGCUAAGAUGCAGGUGGAGUCAGCUGGCUCCCCUGUAGCUUCAGAGGACUGGCAUCUUGCACAGAUUCCAUUUGUACUCUAGCAGGAAGCUGAGACCCACUGUAAACUCUGUCUUUUCCCUGGGCAAAUACUCAUAUUCACCUUUUUGUUGUACCACAUCAACAGAUCAAAAUAUACCUACCCUGCUCUCCAGGAAAGCCACAAAGCAAGUUAAGCAGAUAUCACACGUCAGAGCAUGCAUGGAUACGUUUGUAAAAACGGUGAGCACAUUUAAGAUCUAUUUUAUUGUUUCUCAUUUGCCACGUACUUUGGUUGAGUCAGUUUGACAAAGCGAAAGCUGGGAAGCUGGCUCAUGAAGCAAAGAGUUUCAAGGAAACUCUCUUCCUGAAGUCUGGCAUUCUCUCCCUAAUCUAUAUAAAUCACAAAAUCAAUUUUCUGCUCCCGCGUUAGUCUAGUGUAUGGAUCCACGUGCUCUCUAUUUAGUAUUACCUUACUGUAAAUGCCUUUUAAGAUUGUAUCCUGAAUUAGCUAAAGCCUCUCCCAGUGUUCCAAGAUUCCAGUUAGCAGCAAGGAGCUUAACCUAUUCAGUAACUAAUUAAGCACUACAAUAAAAUCAAAGCCAUUAACUCAGUUGUCUACAGUAAGAGACUAAAAUUCUCACUGAGAUAAAAACUUUAUUAUAGACUACAUUCCAUACCAAGAGUGAGUUUAUAUACUAUCCUAAUAAUGAGAAUUCUCCAGACAAGAUAAAAUUUAACAAGGCCUAGAGAAUUUCAGGGUCAGUGACACUACAUUAUUCUUGAAGCUUAUCAAGAGUUAAUAACCCCCUGGUGCUAUUAACACUAAAGUGUGAAACUCUUGCCUAGCACAAAGCUGAUCCGAGGUUGGGAUGCUAAUUUCUAGUGUAAACAUUUAUCUGAUUCCUGCAAAUUCCCUUUGAAGUCACUCCUCUUGCAUCUGUGCUAAUCUCUAGUGUAAACAUUUAUCUGGUUCCUUUUGAAGUCACUCCUCUUGCACCUGGAAAACUUCAAUGUGCCUUAUUCUGUUAUGAUUUGCAAUUUACUCUGUAUUAUAAAAAGUCUGAGGCUCGACCAGAACAUUACAUUCAGAUCCAACACC